rnacentral:lncRNA from 10 species
CCAGUACAGACGGGGUUUCUCCAUGUUGCCCAGGCUGGUCUCGAAUUCGUGAGCUCAAAGCAAUCUGCCUGCCUCAGCCUCCCAAACUGCUGGGAUUACAGGCAUGAGCCACUGUGCCCAGCCUGGAAAAAAAAUCCACUUCUAAUCUAGCAAAUUUUGUGUUCUUGUUUACUAUUUUAGCAUUAAUAACACCAAGUGACUAACAUUCUCCUCAUGAGCGCUAUGCUAGGAAUAAAAGCUUGCCACGGUGGAAUUAUCUAAACUAGAAGAAAUCAAUACCAUGGAUCCCAACAAAAAUCAACAAAAGGGACCACAUGUUCAUUUUAUCUGAUAUAUUUCUGGAAAAAAAUGUUUGCCAUAGCAAAAUGGAGACGGGGAGCCAAGCAGCAAAAUACAUCCGUAGUGAGGUACAGAAAACAGUAUCCACUAGAAAUCUUUUCAGGAAGGGUGCCAUUUUGGGUUGGAGAAACUCCUUGAAAGUUAAUUUGGGGGAGAAGGAGAGUCCUUGAGGGACCAGGGUAAGGUCAGAACGUUUCCUGGGAGAAAGGGGGAACAUUUCUCUGGCUAAUAAGGGCACAGUGCCGGACAGGGUGAAGAAGAAAAAGUCAGUCAAGAGUGGUACAUUUCAGAGCAUGAAAGGCCUCACACUGCAUAAAAUAGACUACACCUUAAGACUUCCAAUUUUCAGUAAGACUCUUAGGCCCAUAUAAAAUUCAGGAGCCUGUGGAUUUUUUGGUGUGGAAACCACUGAAGAGGCAGAUUGUACAUCUAAAUUGCAAGGGCGAGACUUAAGUAUGAAUUGGGAAUUUAGAGUGUAGCAAAUUAGUCAGACAUUAGAUAAUAAGUAAGCAAAGUUUAUGAACAAUUCACCAAGAAAUACAAAUGGCUCUUUAACAUAUGAAAAUAUAACUGUGCAAGGAAAAAAAACAUGCAAAUUAGUUUCCAAGAGAUACUUUCCAUUUCUUGCAUUGGCAAAGAACAAAAAUUUCACUGACAUAAUUGUGAGGACAAAUGCAUUCACUAGUGGGAAUUCAUAAAACUUCCAUUGAGAGCAGUUUGGCAAUAACUACCAAAAUUAAAAAUGCACAUAAUCUUUAACUGAAUUAUUUCAAUUCUAGUAAUUUAUUCUAUAGGCAUAGAUGUGGGAAAUGACUUUACAUACAAAGGUAUUCAAUGCAGCAUUAUUUGUAAUAACCAAUGCCUAAAACCAACCUAGAUAGAGGUUAAAUAAAUUAUAAGUCCAUAUUAUAUGGCGCAUGAAAAAGAAAGAGGCAACUAUUUACAUAUUAAUAUUGAAUAAUUGCCAAGAUAUAUUAUUAACAGAUAAAGUGCAGAAAAUGCAUAUAGUAUCUGUAUUAAUAAAAAGGCAAAAAUAAAGAGGAAUAUUAUAUACAUAAUUGCUUGUAUACUUAGAAAAUAUUUCUGGAAGGAUAUUCAAAAUGCUAAAAGUGGUUCUAAAGAGGAGAACUGGGUAGCGGGGGGACAGGGAAGAGAAGACUUUUUACUCUAUACCUUUAAUACAUUUUGAAUUUUGUACUAUAUGGAUGUAUUACCUACUCCAAUAAUAGCGACUAAGAAAGUGAAAAGCACAACAUACCAAGAAUUGUGAUAAAUGCUAAGAAGGAGAAAUAUAGAACAGUUAGAACAAACAAUGGGGAGCCAAUCUAGACUUGUUUGGACAGGGAAAUUUUUCCUGGGUAAGAGAUGUUUAAAAUGAGACCUAAAGGGUAAGGCAUUAGCUUAGGGAAAGGGGAUGAAGACAUGUGCAGGCCAGGAAAGAAUUCUAAGGCAAAGGAAGAACUUGUGCAAAGGCCCUGAGGAUGGAAGAAUCUCAGCCAGUUUGCAGCACAGAAUGAAGACCAGUGUGAAAAGAGAAAAAGGUAACAGGGUUGGUUGCAAUAGGAGAAGAGGUAGGAGUGCAGAUCCACAAAGGCCAUAUGAGGAAUUUUAUUUUAAGGGCAUUGGGAAGGCACUAGAGAAUUUUGAGCAAGGAAUGGCAUGGUCAGAAUGAACACUUAAUAAACUCAUGUUAGCUCAUGAGUAGAGACUGAAUUGGGAGGGGGACAAAAAUUGAUAAUCUAGGGUAAACUAAAGGAUGCUGCAAAUGAGAUGAUGAAACACUUCACUUGGACUAGUGUGAUGGCAAAGGAGAUGGAGAAAAAGUAAAUGGGUUCUCAAGUUUAGAGGUGGAAAAACCUCCAAUACACAUGAUUGGAUAUGGGGGAAUGAGGGAAAGGGAAAUGGAUGUUAAAGGAAGAUUGCCAGGUUUCUUACUUUGAAAGCUGCUGGAUGAGUGGUACAGCCAAUUACUGAAAUGGGAAGACUUAAGGACAAAGAUGUUUGUAGAAAGCUCAUGAGGCUGUUUCCCAAUAUGUGAAAUCUCCCUGAAAGGGGUCCUGUGAGGAGCAAAUGACAUUCUUUAUUCAAUAACUAGAAGCCAUUGCUAUAAUGUUUCAAAAUCUCUCCUUUGACCUCAGAUCUUGUGAGGAAGAUAGAACACUUUCUGUACCAGGGCCUUUUUCAAUAAGAAAGGACAUUGGUUUCUCAAAUUGCAAUCACUAAACCUAAUGUACUUUAAUUAUAUACAUAAUUAGAACAAUCUCUUUUUAAAAAAACAUAAUAGGUUGGAUACUAUGGUUCACACCUGUAAUCCCAACACUUUGAGAUGCUGAGGCAGGAGGAUUGCUUGAGCCCAGGAGUUCAAUACCAGCCUGAGCAACAUAGUGAGACCCGUCUCUACAAAAAAUUUUAAAAUGAGCCUGGCAUGAUGGCAUGUGUCUGUAGUCCUAGCUACUUGGGAGACUGAGGAGAGAGGCUCUCCUGAGCCCAGGAGCUCAAGGUUGCAGUGAGCUAUGAUUGCACCACUGAACUCCAGCCUGGGUGACAGAGUGAGAUCCACUGUAAAACAAACAAACAAGAAGUAUGUUCACAGGAAAAUCCCAGAAAUCACAUAGAACAUGUUUCUUGUGUCACAGAUGGAUCUUCAUUUCCCUUAGCAAAUCUCCUCAAAUGUGACCCUGCUUAUCAAGAUUAUUCAAAUCAUAUAGCUGUGCUGGGCAUACAAAAAAAAUGGCAUUUAUCUAUUUUUAUGGUGGGGGCUGAGGACAUAGAAGAGGAAUCAGGCAUCGGUAACUUUUCAACACCCCCAAUAUAUGUAUAAACAAGGAGCUACAGUUGAGUUUUUACAUUUUUAAUGUUUUAUCAUUUGUACUGACAAGGUCCAUAGCCAGCUUUGUUCUGAUGCCACCUGCUGGACAAGUCUGUAACAUCUUAUUUCUCUUUGGAAGUGUCCAGUCCUCCCAAAACCUAUACCACAAACGCUUGAGAGUCCAGCCAACACUGGGAAAUAUCACUUCAAAAUAAUAUGAAGCUUCACUGGACUUCAUGGAGGAUUUUCAGUAUGCCUAUUCUUGAUGCUACAGAUAUACUCAAUAGCAAUCAAUGGUGAAUGUGGACAAAGGCAUAAUACUGCAUUGUUUGUGAGAAAAAAUACUGGAAACAUGGAAAUGUCCAUCACCAGUAACUGUUUAAAUAAACUAAGAUACAUCCAUAUUAAGACAUAUUAUGCAGCCUGUAAAAGUCCUCAGGUUGUUAAAAUAGUUACAUAAAACAAAUAAAGUGUAGAAAAUAUAGUAUGCUUCCAUUCAUGUUUAAAAAAAUAAUAAGGGGGAGGCCAGGUGCAGUAGCUCACGCCAGAACUAUGAGAAGUCGAGGUAGGAGGCCAGGAGUUUGAGACCAGCCUAGGCAGCACAGUGAGACCCCUGUCUCUACAAAAAAUAAAAAAUAAAAGGAAGAGAUAUUGACACAUUUUAGAAAUACAGUUUGGAAAAGAAAACACAACCAACUGGUAAGAUAUUUGUCUCUGUGGAGGGAGUAGAGGCACUAGGGGAGUUAAGAUGGGAAGGUGUUGCUUUUCUUUAUGAUUCUACAAAAUUUAACUUUGUAUUAUCCAUGUACUUUUACUUUUGAAAACAGUUAAUGAGGCCAGGAGCGAUGGCUCACACCUGUAAUCCCAGCACUUUGGGAGGCUGAGGCGGGUGGAUCAACUGAGGUCAGGAGUUGGAGACCAACCUGGCCAACAUGGUGAAACCCUGUCUCUACUAAAAAUACAAAAAUUAGCUGGGUGUGGUGGCGGGCGCCUGUAAUCCCAGCUACUCAGGAGGCUGAGUCACGAGAAUCACGAGGCAGAGGUUGCAAUGAGCCUAGAUCGUGCCACUGCACUCCAGCCUGGGCAACAGAGCCAGACUCUGUCUCAAAAAAGAAAAAAAUACUAGCUAAUGAAAUAUGUAAAUAAAACCAUUGUUUAAACUCCCAUUCCUAACCAGGCAUGGUGGCUCAUGCCUUUAAUCCCAGCACUUUGGAAAACC